AAUUCUCAACCUCUACUGCUUUUGUGGCAGAGGCUUGGACUUGGAGGUCGUGUCGGCUUGCGAAGGUCGACUCCUCUGAAAUGCAUUAGUGCGAGCCUUACGGAUCGCUUCGGUGUGAUAAUUGUCUACGCCGUGGUGUGAAGUAUAUUUGUGUUCGCGCUUCUAACCGUCCGCGAGGACAACUUUACA
rnacentral:misc_RNA from 1 species